AUUGAACGCUGGCGGCAGGCUUAACACAUGCAAGUCGAGCGAGCGGCGGACGGGUGAGUAAUGUCUGGGAAACUGCCUGAUGGAGGGGGAUAACUACUGGAAACGGUAGCUAAUACCGCAUACUAUCGGAUGAACCCAUAUGGGAUUAGCUAGUAGGUGGGGUAAAGGCUCACCUAGGCGACGAUCUCUAGCUGGUCUGAGAGGAUGAUCAGCCACACUGGGACUGAGACACGGCCCAGACUCCUACGGGAGGCAGCAGUGGGGAAUAUUGCACAAUGGGCGCAAGCCUGAUACAGCCAUGCCGCGUGUAUGAAGAAGGCCUUAGGGUUGUAAAGUACUUUCAGCGGGGAGGCGUUACCCGCAGAAGAAGCACCGGCUAACUCCGUGCCAGCCGCCGCGGUAAUUC
rnacentral:rRNA from 1 species